rnacentral:rRNA from 1 species
UGGGGAAUUUUGCGCAAUGGGGGAAACCCUGACGCAGCAACGCCGCGUGGGUGAUGAAGGCCUUCGGGUCGUAAAGCCCUGUCGGGAGGGAAGAAAUGAUUGAGGGUUAAUACCUCUUGAUCUUGACGGUACCUCCGAAGGAAGCACCGGCUAACUCCGUGCCAGCAGCCGCGGUAAUACGGAGGGUGCAAGCGUUGUUCGGAAUUAUUGGGCGUAAAGCGCGUGUAGGCGGUCUUUUAAGUCUGAUGUGAAAGCCCCGGGCUCAACCUGGGAAGUGCAUUGGAAACUGGGAGACUUGAGUACGGGAGAGGAGAGUGGAAUUCCUAGUGUAGGAGUGAAAUCCGUAGAUAUUAGGAGGAACACCGGUGGCGAAGGCGGCUCUCUGGACCGAUACUGACGCUGAGACGCGAAAGCGUGGGUAGCAAACAGGAUUAGAUACCCUGGUAGUCCACGCCGUAAACGAUGAGUACUAGGUGUUGCGGGUAUUGACCCCUGCAGUGCCGUAGCUAACGCAUUAAGUACUCCGCCUGGGAAGUACGGUCGCAAGACUA